ensembl:lincRNA Gm13479 predicted gene 13479
ACAUAUAUCCAGAUUAAACAACCGAGGCAGCCGGCGCUCACCUUCCCUUAAAUCCAGUUUGGAUUGCAAGCAUCAGUUAGAAGCUGAACAUGGAGCUGGAAGAACUGAGUAGUCUCGAUCCUUGUGGAAGAGCAGACAUCUGGAGAUGGGGUCGAAACAGCAGAAGACGCAUUUUCUCAAGGUCAUGUGGCACAUUUCUUACAAUAUUAGACAAAAAAGGAAGCUUAAUUUGUCCACAACGAUUAAAAAUACAAAGUGUGUUAGAUGAUUAAAUGGAAUUUGAAAUUAGUCUUAAGACACUGAUAAACUUAAAAACACUUGAAUGUCAAAUAGUGAAAACAAAAAUUAUAUCUUAAAAGCCCUUGAAGUAUUUUAGGUGUCCUUAUAGCACAUAUACGAAAACAUGUUCUUCAUGGUUAUCUCCCCCAUUUCCCAAACUCCUUGUUCUCUCAUAUCUUUCCAUCCCCAGUGCCCUCCCCUGAUCUUAAUGUCCUGUGUGUCAUUACCUUUCUAAAGCUUCAUCCUUCCUUGGAGUCCCCUUUUAUUUUAUGACUGUUUCUGCGAUUUUUCUGAAAUAGGAAUUUAUAGCUGUAAAUUUCCUUUUAGAACUGCUUUCAAUGAACCACACAGGUUCUGGUAUUUGGCAUUUUAUCUGUAACUCAAUUUUAGGAUUUUUUUCUUUUUUCUUUUUGUUUUUUUGAGACAGGGUUUCUCUGUAUAGUCCUGGCAGUCUUGAAACUCACUCUGUAGACCAGGCUGNNNNGAAACUCACUCUGUAGACCAGGCUGGCCUCAAACUCAGAAAUCCACCUGCCUCUGCCUCCCAAGUGCUGGGAUUAAAGGUGUGCUCCACCACCACCUGGCCCAAUUUUAGGAGUUUUUAAGUUCUCACCUGAUGUGUUUAAUAAGCCACUUAAUAAUUUGUUCAAUGUCCUUGAAUUUGUGUAUCUUUUAUUGCUUCUUUGCUGUUAUUAGUUUUCAAUUGAAAUUAGAUAACAUAGAAGAUAUUCUUUCAAUAAUUCUUGUACGUGUUAAGACCUAGUAUGUGUUCUAAAAUGUGGUCUACUUUACAGAAAGUUCCAUAAACUGCCAAGAAGAACACAUUUCUGCUGUUUUGUGUAAAAUAUUUGUAAAACACAUUUGAUCUAAUAAGUUUGAUGUCAUUUUCUUUUAUUUUUGUGAGAUUUGGGUAUUUAUUGAAAUCUCUCAUUGUAUUUAGCUCAACUAUGACUUUACAUCAAAACGACUCAUUUUUAUAAAGUUAGGCACACUAAUAUUUAGUGAAUAUAUGUUUAGAAUUGGAACAUUUUCUUAAUAGGUUAGAACCUUUUUUUUAACUUGUAGGAAGACAUCUAUGAGAGUUUCAAAUCUCACAAAGCAAUCAAAGUGAAUCAUAUAUCCAUCUAUUCAGCUCUCAAAUGAAUUUUAAGGCAUCAAAUUGAUCCUUGAAAAGGCACACCAAGGUUGGACAGUAUAAUGAACAAAUUGUGGUACCAGUAUUAGGAUCCACAUGUAAAACUAUGGAAUCCAGUUAAACCAGUCCAAACCUAAGUUUUAAAACCAAGAUGGGCAUAAAUGUCAGAACCGUAGAUUUAAUGGUGAAUUUUCUGUUAUGGAGCCAAAAGCAUGAGCAACAGAAAAGAAAACCAGUAUGUAGAUCUGACUUAAAACUGGCUUUCACGGUAGUGAAAAUACAACCCAUAGUGGACACAUAAGGGAAUUGAAUCUAGAAAACAUAUACAAGUCUCACAGCAACAUAAUAAAAGGACCCAAUUUUAAAUAAUGGUCAAAUAAAUGUAAUAGACAAUCUAGUAAAGAGAUAUACAAAUAGAUAAUAAACACACAAACAACAGUCUGUCUUAUUAGUCUUCAGGGAAAUAUAAGUCAACAAUUGCAAAAAGGCACUAUUUCAUAACCAAGUUGGAUGGCUGUAUUAAAAUGUCAGAUUAUAGCAAGAGCAAGAGAGGAUGAGCAUAACUCAGAAUCCUCAUACACUAUGAGGAGGCUGUAAAUUAGUGCAGCCUCAUCCUGGUAUGAAAAUAUCCUGGUAAUUCUUCAAAUGCCUAAUUACAGAAGAACCAUAUAAUGGCAUAAUCUCACUUCUUGAUGUAUUCAUCUAAGAGAAAUGCAAAAAAAAAUAGUCACAGAAAAAUAGUACACAUUUCUAGCAACAUUAUUUACAAUAGCCAGAAAGUUGAGACCAUUUAAAUAUCUAUGAACUGAUGAAUCAAUAAGCAAAAUAUGGUCUACCCAUGUAACAUAAGAUUAUUAUUCAUUCAUGCUUCAAUAUGAAAAAGUUUCUGAAACUCUAUGCUAAGUAAAUAAUGUCAUUGGUAACGUAUGGCUCUAUUUUUAUAAAAUGUAAAGAAUAGGAAAUGUACAGACACUAAAAGUAGGGUGCUAUAUAAAAUUGGGAGGAUGAAAGGAAAGAUACACUAUUUUAUGUGAGGUAGUAAAAAUGGUCAAAACUAGUUGUCAUGAUUGUUGAAAAAACAUCAAAUCCACUGAAUUAUAAACUUGAAAGGAUCAACUAUGUGUUACAUAAAUUAUAUAUCAAGAGUGCUAAUAUAAAAAAUACAUGUGUUAACAUCUCACCUAGACAUACUGGUUUAGUUGUAUUCAUGUAGAUAGAUCAGGAUGGAGAAAUGGAAUCAGCAUUAACAGACAAAAUAAGAUAACAAAAACUUAAUAUGAGACGCCAAGGUCUUAACUCAAAAUCUUUAAAUUGUGACCGCUGACUGGUAUAACUGAGUGAAAAUAUAUAUCACAGCUUUCUCAGAUUUUAAUAGAUGAAUCUUUCCAACAGACCACUAGUUACAGCCUUACAGAACUCUUUUCCAAUUAAUUCAUUAAUUCAUUAAUUAACUAAAGUGAAUUAUUUAUUCACUUUACAUUCAGAUCAUAUCCUACCCUCUUUUCCUGGUCUCCCUUCAAACAGCCCCUCCUCCACACUUCCUUUUUUUUUUUUCUCCUCCGAGAAGGGGAAGGUCCUGUUUUUGUGCUUAUUCUUUUGCUUACUUCAAGUCCUUUUUUGGUUUGUUGGAGAUAGUGUUAUACCAUCCCUGGGUACCAACCCACCCUGGCACAUCAAGUCACUCAAGACUAGGUACAUCCUCUCCCACUGAGGCCAGACAAUUCCAGCCCAUGUAUCAUCUUUGGUUGUUGGUUUAGUCUCUGGGAGCUCUCAAGGGUCCAGGUUAGUUGAUUCUGUUGGUCUUCUUGUAGAGUUCCUAUCCCUUCUUGGUCCCUCAAUCCUUCCCCCCAACUCUUCCACAAGACUCCCUGAGCUACAUAUAAUGUUUAUCUGUGGGUCUCUGUGUCUGUUUUGGUCAGUUUCUAGGUGGAUCCUCUCAGAUAACAGUUAUGCUAGGCUCCUGUCUGUAAGUAUAACAGAGUAUUAUUAGUAGUGUCAGGGACUGGUUAUUGUACUACUCUACAGUUGGCCCAUCAGGAUUCUGCAACUGUCUGUGAGUACUGUAGGUCUGUCUACUGUUUGCCUAUUUUAAUAUAAGUGUCUGAUAAUGCUCUUUUGUUUUUGUAUUCAUAUCAGUGUAGAAAAAGUAAAGAGUUAUCUUUCUCACAGUCAUGGGACCACCAGGAACUAACUUAACUUGAAUAAAGAAAAACAACAACUUAGUAACAUUAAUCUCAAAAAAGUAAGUGAAAUGUUGCUUUUUGGGAGACUGGACUGUGUUCCAUUGUGUAGAUAGCAGGGAGUGCGUGACUAUUAUGAAUGACCGGAAAGAUAGAAGAUGGAAUCAGUACCUAGAUAAAAACAGAAACUUCAUGGUUCUUGCUUAGGCCAUGCAGCUUUAUUUUCUUGUCUGUCUUAAAUUUAAUUGUUGCAACAUGAUAGGUCCUAACUAGAAGAACUUUGGUUGUCAUAUCCAGCCCCAUUAAGACUUAUUGUACAUAUUUUCCAUUAUUUUCUCCCCUGUCUGCUGGCUUGUAGGGACUCAUCUCUAGGGUGAUCAUGGAAGCAUCCCACUACAGUAACUAUACUUCGUCAUGCAGGUCCUUAAAGGAUAUCUUGGAGCAUGGCUCCACCCACAUGGCUUACCAUUGGGGAAUUAUUUAUAUUGCAAGAAUUUGUAUCAUUAAUUUGCCUCAAAAAUGACCUCCACUGACUUAUACAUAAUUCUCAAGAUUUCAUUUCCCCUGAACCCACUGAGUGUGAUACAUGUUUAUCUCUGAGUAAAUGUUUUCCCUUUCCGGUUUAUACAUACUCUAUAGAUAAAGAAUUUAGUUCUUUGAUUGUUUAAGGUAUAGAAAGAAUUCCAUCUUGAGUUUUGUGUCUUCUUGCAUUACUGGUGGCUUCUUUUCUGGAACUCUUAGUUAAAUUUAUGGUAUAUAUGUAAUUUAUAUUUUGUUAAUCUGAGAAACAUAAACAUAUUGCUCUCUAGGAAGUGUAAGCACAGUUGCAGGGGGGGGGAGAGUCAGGUAAGAUAAGUACAUAUUAUGUCCAUUGCAUUUUCUUUCCUCAUGAGGUAUAUUUAACAACUUUUUUUUUUGCGUGAAGGAGAAGAAAUAUAUUUAGAUCUGCAGCAGUCAGUCUGGAUUUGUAGACUUUUUAAUAGAUUUGGAUUACCAUUAAAUAAAUUUGAUGGAUAACUGCAGAACCAACUAAUAAUAAUAUACUAUACAUGAACUAUAUACAACUUUAAUUUGGCCCUCAUUUCAUAUUGGUAGUAUAUUGUAGCAUUCUCUCCAAUAUUUUCACUUGCAAUGCUAGAGAAAAAUUCUGGAAAGUAUUUACC